UACGUAGGGAGCAAGCGUUGUUCGGAUUUACUGGGCGUAAAGGGCGCGUAGGCGGCGCGGUAAGUCAGCUGUGAAAUCUCCGAGCUUAACUCGGAACGGCCAGCUGAUACUGCAGUGCUAGAGUGCAGAAAGGGCAAUCGGAAUUCUUGGUGUAGCGGUGAAAUGCGUAGAUAUCAAGAGGAACACCUGAGGCGAAGGCG
rnacentral:rRNA from 1 species